rnacentral:rRNA from 1 species
UGGGGAAUAUUGGGCAAUGGGGGCAACCCUGACCCAGCAACGCCGCGUGAAGGAAGAAGGCUUUCGGGUUGUAAACUUCUUUUACCAGGGACGAUGACGUGACGGUACCUGGAGAAAAAGCCACGGCUAACUACGUGCCAGCAGCCGCGGUAAUACGUAGGUGGCAAGCGUUGUCCGGAUUUACUGGGUGUAAAGGGCGUGUAGGCGGGGGAGGCAAGUCAGAUGUGAAAUCUAUGGGCUUAACCCAUAAACUGCAUUUGAAACUGUUCUUCUCGAGUAUCGGAGAGGCAGGCGGAAUUCCUAGUGUAGCGGUGAAAUGCGUAGAUAUUAGGAGGAACACCAGUGGCGAAGGCGGCCUGCUGGACGACAACUGACGCUGAGGCGCGAAAGACGUGGGGAGGC